rnacentral:misc_RNA from 1 species
GAAGCAUAAGGUGCCAACACACAUGUAGACAGCCAAGAAAACAGCUACUUGAAUCAAACUCGGACAGAACUUCCCAUAAAUGGAUUCAGGGUGUGAAAGUGAGCGACCAGCAUCUGAAGGAACGAACUCUGUUACAGGAGCACUUCUAACUCGGCGAAAUCUUCUUCUAUUGGGAGCAUGUGUAUUAUUUGUUUGCAGUGUGGAAUCCACUAAUCCUGACAGCAGUGGCUGUUUUGCACCAUUGGAGGCCAUGAAAACAGUAUGACAAACGUGGAACAGUCUUAGGAGACCUGCAAAUUAUUAGACAUGUUGAGCUAUAGUUUAAACAAGCAAGUCAGAUAUGUUAGGAACAACUCAAAAAAGAAAAUCUCAGAUGCAAAGUUUAUCCCCAAUUAUUAACAUAGUCACCAUAAAAGCAUAUCUGGCUAUAGAAAGGCCUAAACACUCAUGCAUAGUUUCUCUUUCUACAUAGUGCAGAUUAAAUUUUCUCCAUCCAAAUCUUCUAGCUCCUAUAUAUUUCAUUCCAGUUAUGGAAAACAGUUGUUUUCAGUUUUUCUAUGCUUGGCAUCUCUUCCCCUCCAAAUAUUAAGCUACAGGCUAUGUGUCAUACCCAGGAAAUUCUAUGAGAACAAUUGAACACAUUAUCUCUACAACAUAAAUUUUCAGAUAUGAGAAGUAAAGACAAGGCUACAAGUGAGCAUUGCAACAUUAUACAAAUGCAAAUUAUUAAACGCAAGAUCAAAAGUCACAGCAUAAAAUAAAAUAAAAAUAAAUAAAGAAGAGGGUUUUUAUGAAGCUAGCUAGGUGCUAAAUUUAGAAUCCUCACUAACAAGUGAGAAAAACUCCACUUCACCACAAUUGAACUUCUAGAGUGAAUUGCAAGGAACUACUGAGCAAGAGUUAUGGCAGAAGCACGGUGGAUAUAAAUUUAAAGUGCUCUUUCAGUAAGGAAAUUUCCCAGCAAAUUCCACCCUAAACCUUCUAAGAUCAAUGUCACUAUAAACCCUGUAGGCAAAACUGUCCUUUACAGCAUAGCUACUUCUUUACAAUGAAAUUGGGUUGCCCUUAAAUUUUAGUUUUUGGUCGAAUAUAAUGAAUUGGAAGGGUACGGUGUACAUGUGACGAGGAAGUUUCGUAUACGAAUCCAAGUACCAAGAUUGUAAGUACUUGAUUUUUACAGCCCAAGUCCAAUUGCGUGUAUAUUUUACAGGUGAGAAGCAUUCAAAUCGUACUCUAAUGUUUGUAAACAAAGGGAUUCAGUGAAUGAAAAAAAGAAAAAGCAUUCCAAUCCAAAUUAACAAGAUUUUUCACACAGAUAAUGCAUAAAAAAAAAGCUUCGAAUAGAAAGAGAUCUGUAACAGAGGAAACAGGUAGAGACUUUCAACAAUGAUGCCUCCAAUAACCAUCGGUGUUUAAGUUGGAAACUCCGCAAAAGAGUCUCAAGACAAAACAAGAAAGUUGCACAGAGAGAGACAGAGAGAGAUCACCUGAGGGAGCAGAAUUACAUAGAAUUUUCAAGAAUUAUUGGGAGUUGAUGAGCAAAAUCUUGAGAACAUCGAUUAAACAGCGUGUAAUAAUCUGAGAGCUUUUGUCUUCCGAUGGGAUCUUACGGGAUCUUGUGUUUGCACUUUCUGAAGUGGAAUGAACAUGGUUUUAAUUAAGCUGCCCCUUUCGUUUCUUUGGGAUUAGGACAGCAGAUGCUCUUAGAGAUUUUUUUUUUAAUUUUUU